rnacentral:sRNA from 1 species
AUUUAUAUGUGCGUUAGGGAUUGAAACGGCAUCCUUUUUUUCGCCUUUUUUGGCGAAGAAAAGAUACAGUGUAAAGCCCGUCAAAAC